rnacentral:misc_RNA from 1 species
GUAAAACCGGUAAAACCGUUAAACCGGCCGGCCAAGACAAUCCAUCUUUUCAAAGGCGUCGCAGACUCGCAGUUUCAUCUGGACGUGUCGUUUGGACGUGUUGACGGAUUUAAAGGUGCCACCCUGACCAGGCUGAAGCUGACAUGAUUAGCAAGCAUCGUAGCGUGAGACUGGUUUUCCUGACUCAGCUGGCUUGUCUGGCAGCUUGCAACCUAUGGGAACCUGAGGAACUGCAUCACAAGAGUGAAAGGGACGCCCACCUAGCACUUCUUCGAGGAUGGUGCCUUGAAGAAGGGAGGACUGCGCCUAAAGUGAAUGCCAUGGCAGGCAAUGUGCUGAGGCUUGGGCCAUGUGGAACUGGAGGCAGCCAAGUCAUCAAAGAAGAUAGGACUUCGGCUCAUUCAGAAACCAUGUGAACUACGGCACAAGAGGCCCAGGGCACCGGAACAGCUGGCUGAAUAAACAGCUAAGCCUUUCAAACAUUGAAGUGUGUGCUAUCCCAAGGGGAGUAGUUUGAAGGGGAUUAGAGUUUUAGACCUCAAGGCAAAUAAAUGUAUUUUUUCCUUCCAAA